rnacentral:rRNA from 1 species
GCCCUCCCCACGCCUUCCAUUCUCCACGUCCCACCUGUGCACCUUCCGUAGGGCCGUCAAGCCCCUCCGGGGGGCAAACCUUUCUUUUUUGCCCCCUUGCUUUUCGGCUCUGCGAGCUCUUUUGUAUACACCCUUGAGAAAAACGCGUUGCAGAGUGUUCUUGUACAAAGGGGACCCUCACCGGCCCCAUAGACAAUACCAAUACAACUUUCAACAACGGAUCUCUUGGCUCUCGCAUCGAUGAAGAACGCAGCGAAAUGCGAUAAGUAAUGUGAAUUGCAGAAUUCAGUGAAUCAUCGAAUCUUUGAACGCACCUUGCGCUCUUUGGCCAUUCCGAAGAGCAUGCCUGUUUGAGUGUCAUUGAAUCCUCAAGCCCCGCCUGGCCCCUCCGGGCUUUCGGCGGCUUGGAGUUGGGAGCCCUGCGGGUCGCUAGCCCUUGCGAUCCGCUCUCCUCAAAGGCAUCAGCAGGGCCCAGUCGCAGUCGGCCUCACGGCGUUGAUAGUCCAUCUACGCCCCCGCGGUCGCACUCAGCGUGGCCCGGCUUCGAACCGGACGAGACCUGUCACGGUCUUUCCGCCCCUUUGACACCCUUGACCUCAAAUCAGGUAGGACUACCCGCUGAACUUAAGCAUAUCAAUAA